ACUGCUCGAAAGAGCGGCUAAUACCGCAUACGAUCUAUGGAUGAAAGCGGGGGACCGUAAGGCCUCGCGCGAUUGGAGCGGCCGAUGUCAGAUUAGGUAGUUGGUGGGGUAAAGGCUCACCAAGCCAACGAUCUGUAGCUGGUCUGAGAGGACGACCGCCCCCCUGGGACUGAAACACCGCCCAAACUCCUACGGGAGGCAGCAGUGGGGAAUUUUGGACAAUGGGGGCAACCCUGAUCCCACAAUGCCCCGUGCAAGAAGAAAGCCUUCCGGUUGUAAACUGCUUUUGUACGGAACGAAACGGUCUGGGUUAAUACCCUGGGCUAAUGACCGUACCCUAAGAAUAAACACCGGCUAACUACCUGCCAGCAGCCCCGGUAAUACCUAAGGUGGGAGCGUUUAUCCGAAUUACUGGGCGUAAAGCGUGGGCAGGCGGUUUUGUAAGACAGGAGUGAAAUCCCCGGGCUCAACCUGGGAAUGGCGCUUGUGACUGCCAAGGUGGAAUGCGGCAGAAGGGGAAGGAAUUCCGCGUGGAACAGUGGAAUGCCUAGAUAUGCCGAAGAACACCGAUGGCGAAAGCNAUCCUCUGGGGCUGCACUGACGCUCAUGCACGGAAGCGUGGGGAAGCAAACCAGGAUUAGAAUACCCUGGUAGUCCACGCCCUAAACGAUGUCCAACUGGGUUGUUGGGUCUUUGCUGACUCAGUAACGAAGCUAACGCG
rnacentral:rRNA from 1 species